UUAUUAACUGAAAAUUCAAAU
rnacentral:piRNA from 1 species